GGUCUCUUGGCUUAAGAGGCUAGCUGCAGCAGGCGGUGGGAACUUGAUCAGGAACCAGUAGCUCGUCUUAGAUGUAACAUCAACCAGGAAUGAAGAUCAGUUGUCCUCCAGGGAGAUUCCUCAAUAUUCAUCUCCAUGUUUUAAAGGAAGAUGUAGAGGACAAAAAGAAGACUAUCUGAAUAGUGGCUGAUGCAUGUGUGUUGCUCUCGGGAAGGGUCAGGAGUUGCUUUUGGUGUUUCAAGCAAGCACCACUGCCUUCGCCUCGGUGGCGAAAAGGAACUGGCAAAGUAAUCGAUGCAGGAACCCACCUUGAGAGACACUGCCCGAAGAACCCGUACCCAUGUGUUCAAUACGCACAACACGGCUUCUGUAAGUCACUGUGAGUACAAGGAGGUUGGCAAGGAUGACUCCAACCUCCAGAUUCUUCAUGGUCUCUUAAGCUCAGGCUCAGAUUUGUUCAACUCCGUCCCCUGCCACCAUGUCCUCUAGGGUUAAUUGGCUUGAAAUCAAUUCUACCUGGUGGGCACGUUACAUUCUGGAAAGCCAUCUCAGCCAGUAGAAAGAAAUGAGACUUCUAGAUAACUGACAAGCUAAGCCAGCCCUGUGAGGAUCUGGAGUUGACCUCAAUGGAACUGGAGGAGGGGGGCCCUGCACCCCCUGACUCACCCCUGAAUAAUGACACCUUAUACAGCACAACAUGACAGAUGGCUUCACGCUUGUUUCUUCGUUGCCUUGCCGGCUCUGUGUGGCGACUAAGACAGAUAUGGCUACUACUUGUUGAUUCUAGAAGCAAAAGCUCAUGGGGACAAUCUCUCUGAAGUCACAUGGCUAUUGAUGGGUCUAGCUGGGAGUAUAAAGAUUGAAAACACAGGCUGGGGAGAUGGCUCCGUGCUUAAGGACACUGGUGGCCCUCCCAGAGGAGCCAGGUUCAAUUCCCAGCACCCACAUGGUGGUUCACAACCCUAUGUAACUCCAGUCCCGGGAGAUCCGAUGCCCUCUUCCGGCUCUGUGGUCACAGCAUGUGGUGAACAGAUAAUCGUGUGCAGGUAAAACACCCAUGCACACAAAUAAUAAUAACACACUUUUUAAAAAAAAUUGAAAGCACCGUUUAUAAGGAAACAUCUACAGAAGCAGACAUUCUGGCUGAUCCAUUAAGCUUAGAACUAUAUACACACAUAUCUUUCAUACUCAAGACAAAAAAACCCACAAGAAGAAGAAUAAAGCAGCUUCAGAUCUCUUCCAGCAGCAGCCAGUGCCAUAACAAAGGGCAAAACGUCUAGGAGGAAAAAGUGCCAUCCAAGUGGACCCCACACAGCUGAGCGAGACUGAGAAUUCGAAGACUGGAGAUUGUAUUUCCAGGCAUAAAAAAGGCUCACAUCUAAGGGUCCUCCUGAAAAAUGGACUUGGUGGUGGAGCCCUGUGAUCUCAAGGAUGAAUCAAAAUAAAAAGUCCUGUUCCUCUAAUGCCUGGUGAGAAUGUGGUUUCUACCCAGGCGGCCAUUAGACACCAGGAGAAUAGUGGCUUGAGAUUGAACAAUGAAAUGCUGACAAAGUUAGACUAACCCAGACACUGAAGUUGGGAGGAAGAGGAAGACAAGAUGAGUGUGCCUGUCCCUUUCCUUCCCUAGAUACAGCUGAUCUGUGCUGUCCAUGGGAAGACACGCUGGAAACACACAGACACCGGGCCUGGGUGUGGCUCUGUGGUAAAGCAUUUGCCCUGCAUGUGUAAGGACCUGAGUUUGAUCCUCAGUACCUGAAAAAGCUAGCCUGAUGGUGUACACUCAUAAUCCCACGGGGGAGGGAAAGCUGGGUCUGUGGACGUGCUGGCCAGCCAAGCUACCCUGGUCAGUGGGGCUCCAGGAUGAGCAACCCCAGCAUAUAAACAAACAAAUAUAAGGGUAGAGAGCUCCUGAAGAAUAAUACUCAGGUUGUCAUCUAGCCUACACACCCAUACACAUACAUGUGCACUCAAACACACACAUGCAUGAGCACCCAAACACACACAUGCAUGAGCACCCAAACACACACAUACAUGAACACCCAAACACACACAUGCAUGAAUACCCAAACACACACAUGCAUGAAUACCCAAACACACAUGUGUACACACUCACACUGAAUUCACCUUAUUGAAUUUCCUUAUAUUUGGUAGCAC